AAAUUGAAGAGUUUGAUCAUGGCUCAGAUUGAACGCUGGCGGCAGGCCUAACACAUGCAAGUCGAACGGUAACAGAAAGCAGCUUGCUGCUUUGCUGACGAGUGGCGGACGGGUGAGUAAUGUCUGGGAAACUGCC
rnacentral:rRNA from 5 species